GGAUCCGUGGCGCAAUGGUAGUGCGACUGACUCCAGAUCAGAAUGUUGCGUGUUCGAUCACGUCGGGUUCA
rfam:Ipomoea nil DNA, scaffold: scaffold2280, cultivar: Tokyo-kokei standard.